rnacentral:rRNA from 1 species
GAUGAACGCUGGCGGCGUGCCUAAUACAUGCAAGUCGAGCGAACGGACGAGAAGCUUGCUUCUCUGAUGUUAGCGGCGGACGGGUGAGUAACACGUGGAUAACCUACCUAUAAGACUGGGAUAACUUCGGGAAACCGUAGCUAAUACCGGAUAAUAUUUUGAACCGCAUGGUUCAAAAGUGAAAGACGGUCUUGCUGUCACUUAUAGAUGGAUCCGCGCUGCAUUAGCUAGUUGGUAAGGUAACGGCUUACCAAGGCAACGAUGCAUAGCCGACCUGAGAGGGUGAUCGGCCACACUGGAACUGAGACGCGGUCCAGACUCCUACGGGAGGCAGCAGUAGGGAAUCUUCCGCAAUGGGCGAAAGCCUGACGGAGCAACGCCGCGUGAGUGAUGAAGGUCUUCGGAUCGUAAAACUCUGUUAUUAGGGAAGAACAUAUGUGUAAGUAACUGUGCACAUCUAGACGGUACCUAAUCAGAAAGCCACGGCUAACUACGUG